UGCUAACUAUACAAAGAACCUGGCCAGGCCAAAGCUUUAUUUUUUCGAAAAUAAGAGGAGCCAAAUUAAUAGUUUACUUCAUUCCAGGAAUAGUAUAGUUCACUUAUAUAGCAAGUUCAACUUUUAGAACGAGAGAAGGGAAUCCUUCCAUACAUUUUGUUCUGUAAACUUUUUUUCUUUACAUAGAACCUACCCUAAGAGGUAUUGUUAAUAUUGUAUUAUUCAAAACUUCUCAUGUACAUAAAAGUGUAUGUAAUCAUAAUCUCUUUAUAUAAAGUCUAUAUCUUUAAAAAAUACAAAUGAGAAUACUAAAUGUAAAUUAUUUUUAUCAUAUAUCUGGCAGAAGUUCCUAUAUCAGCACAUAACUUCAUUUCUUUUAAUGAAUGUUGCAUUAUAUGGAUACACCUGAAUUUAGUUAAAUAACCAGAAUUUAUUUGAUAAUUAUUCAUUUGAAGAAUUAUUUAAGAACAUUUACUAUAUUCAGGUAAGACUUUGUCUAAGUCACUUGGAUUCCACCUUGAUUCCACUCUUAGUCUACGUUUUCACAUAAUUAUGUGAACUAUCGGAAUCUUAAUUCAGAUGGUUUUCAGCCAGUUCUCGGGAUAUUGAAUGUAUUCCAAAGACUUUGCUGCAAUAUACGUCAAUCAUCAAAACAAGCUUGUAGCCUGGAACGGUUCCUUGGUGUCCCUUUGACCGUCAUGCCCCUGACGCUUCUGAAGGUUCCAGGCACUGAAAUUUGGAUGCGUGGGCUGCGGCACCUCAUUCGGGGCUGCCUCCUGCAAGCGUGCCCUCCUGCCCGGAGACCCUCCACUUGGGCCGGACGCCCCAAGCCCGGCUGCCCUUGCCAUCGCAGUGAUGCCACCUCACCCUGCUCGGGCUCCGGCACCCUGGCACCGGGGCCCCCACCCAGGCAGCACCCCUCACCCCACUGAGGCGACAGCACCUUGCGCUGGGCAGCCCCUCCACGGACACCCACCUCACCCUGCUCCGGUGCUGACAGCCUGCAAUGCGAACGUCGCGGCGCCCCACUCCCCGGGCGGCUGGUCUCACACAGAGGCUGACUUGCUCAGGGGGAGAGGGAUCACGGGAAAAAGAACAAGCUUCAGAUGGUGUUCAGAAACGCGUUUUAGUAUCUGUCUGUACGUGAGUCGUAGCCGAACCAGCUGACGAACUGAAGUCCUUUUACUUAAGCAGAAAGCACAAACCGUAAGCACAAAAGCGUUCUCGUUUACAUCAUGAAUCCCAAAGGAGUAUUUUGAAGUGUUAAAACGGGUGGUCACAUUUGACUGUGAUUAUUUUAAAAACAUGCGCAGAGAAUUCACUCAGUCUUCAACAUUUUCUAUGUAUACACAAAAAUGAAACCAAUAAAAAUUAUCGUGUAAGACAUUUAAA